UACGAAGGUGUCGAACGUUGUCCGGAAUAACUGGGCGUAAAGGGCGCGUAGGCGGUCGGGUAAGUGAGAUGUGAAAGCUCUGGGCUCAACCCAGGAAUUGCAUUUCAUACUGCUCGACUUGAGUUCGGUAGAGGAGGGCGGAAUUCCAGGUGUAGCGGUGAAAUGCGUAGAUAUCUGGAGGAAUACCGGUGGCGAAGGCGGCAUCCUGGACCGGCAUUGACGCUGAGGAGCGAAAGCCAGGGGAGCAAACGGG
rnacentral:rRNA from 1 species